UGCAAUCAGCGUCAGUAACAAAUUAAUAAUUACAACUUUCAACAACGGAUCUCUUGGUUCUGGCAUCGAUGAAGAACGCAGCGAAAUGCGAUAAGUAGUGUGAAUUGCAGAAUUCAGUGAAUCAUCGAAUCUUUGAACGCACAUUGCGCCCUUUGGUAUUCCAAAGGGCAUGCCUGUUCGAGCGUCAUUUGUACCCUCAAGCUUUGCUUGGUGUUGGGCGUCUUGUCUCUAGCUUUGCUGGAGACUCGCCUUAAAGUAAUUGGCAGCCGGCCUACUGGUUUCGGAGCGCAGCACAAGUCGCACUCUCUAUCAGCAAAGGUCUAGCAUCCAUUAAGCCUUUUUUUCAACUUUUGACCUCGGAUCAGGUAGGGAUACCCGCUGAACUUAAGCAUAUC
rnacentral:rRNA from 1 species